GCCUGGGUGGCGAAAUUGGUAGACGCAGUUGAUUCAAAAUCAACCGCCUUCGGGUGUGCCGGUUCGAGUCCGGCUUCAGGCACCA
rnacentral:tRNA from 3 species